UCUCACUGAUAAUCUGUGCAUAUUUGUUUCUUCUCCCUCUCUGUCUCUCUCUGUGUUUCUCUGGCUUUCUCUCUGCCCCCUUCACUCCUUCCCUCCUUCCACUGUCUGUCUGUCUCUCCCUUGCUCGCUCGCUCUCGCUUUCUCUCUCUUCUCUCUCUCUCUCUGUCGCUGUCUUGUCUAUCUCUUACUUUUUUCUCUAUCCUCUCUCUGUAUCUGUCUCUUUUUCUUUGUAUCUCUCUGUCUCUCUCCCUCUCUCUAUUUCCCUCCCUCUCUCUGUCUGCCUCUGGCUCUCUCCUUCCCUCCCAUUUCACUCUUUUUAAAUUUCAACAGUAAUUGAAUUUUCCAGGUACCUGUAAAAAUUCGUUUCAACAGUCAUUUUAUUAACAAUUUGAAUCCCAAAUGGCCCCCCUGGUUUCCUCAUCCCCCCCUCUCAAAAACAGCAAGCAAUCUGACAUAGGUUAUACAUGUAUAAUCAUUUUAACAUAUUUCCAUACUAAUCUUAAGCAAGAAAGAUCAGACCAAAAGGGGAAAAGUACAACAAAGAAAAACGAACCAACCAAAAGGCUGAAAACACCAUUCUGCCUCCACACAGUCUCCACCCAUUCGGAGGCCAUUUUACACCCCAAGUCUGCUGGAAUUGACAGAGAUCAUCAUAUUGCUCAGGAGAGCUAAGGUUUAACAUGAGGUUGCACAGCCUAUAAUCCUGUAUAUUUCCUACUGAACAAGAACAAUCAAUUACAUUCAUAUACCAUAACUUGUUCGGCCAUUCCCCAGUUGAUGGCCAUCCACUCAGUUUCCAGCUCCUUGCCACCACAAGGGCCGCUACAAACAUUUUACACAUGUGGGUCCUUUCCCCUCUUUUGUGAUCUCUUACAUACAGACCCAAUAAUUACAAUGCUGAAUCAAAGGGUACGGACACUUCCAUAACCCUUUGGGCAGAGUUUCAAAAUGCUUUGCAAAUCAGUUCACAACUUCACCAACACGUUAGCUCCGCUCUCUCUCUCUCUCUCAUAGUUUUUCUCUAUAUCAUGAUCACACCUGUGUCUGUUUCUUUCCGGGUGUCUGUCUGUGUCUGCCUCUCCCCACUGACCUGUCUGCCUCAUUCCCUCCCUUGCCUCUUUCUUUCCCACUCCUUCACCCUGCUCUCUCUUUAUGUCUGUCUCUCCUCUGACUCUAUGUCUCUCUCUGUCUUUCCCUGACUUUCUCCAGCCCAUCUGUUCCCCUCUCCUCCUUUUUUUUCUCUUAAUCUCUCUCUUUCACUCUGUCACUCUCUUUAUGUCAUUUUGUGGUUCUAUCAUUCUCUGUAUCUCUUUCUCUAUGUGUCUUUUUCUAAAUCUGUAAGCAUAUCUUCCCUCUUCUUUGUCUCUGUCUCUCUGGGAUUAUGCAUUUUUGUUUGUCUCCCUUUCUGUAUCUUAUUGUCUCUCUCCCUCUCUGUCUCUCAUUGUGUCUUUCCUGUCUUUUUUCUUCCUUUCUCUCUUCACUGACUCCUCUCUUUCCCUCCCUUCUUUCCCUCUCUUCCCUCCUCACUUUGCGCUCUCUUCCUUUCUGGCUUUCCUUCUCUGUCUUUAUCUACCUUUCUCUCCUGAUAACUGUCUCUCUAUCCAUAAAUGUCUCCCCCUCUCUGGCUGUCUCUUCAUUUGUUUCUCUCCCCCUCACUUCACUCUAUCUCUUUUUUAAUUUCAGUAAUAAUUUAUUUUUCCAGUUACAUAUAAAGUUUUCAUCAUUCAUUUUGGUAAGAUUUUGAAUUCCAAAUUUUCCUCCCCUUUCCCUUACUUCCCGGCUCCCUAAGAGAGCAAGCAGUCUGACACAGGGCAUACAUGUACAAUCAUUUUAAGCAUGCCUCCAUGUUACUCAUCUUAUGCAAGAAAGAUCAGACCAAAAGGGGAAAAGCACGACAAAGAAAAGCGAACCAAACAAAAAGUUGAAAACACCAUUUUGUCAUCCACAUCCAGGCUCCACAGUUUUCUCCCUGGAUGUGGAUGCCAUUUUUCAUCCCAAGUCCACUGGAAUUGCCCUGGGCCCCUGUUUUGCUCAGCAGACCCAGGGCACAUCACAAGACCGACCAGCACAUAACCUUGUACCAUUUCUUAUUGAACAACAAGACUCUGUUACAUUCAGAAGCCAUCACUUAUUCAGCCAUUCCCCAACUGAUGGGCGUCCCCUCAAUUUCCAUCUUGCAACCACAAAAAAGGGCUGCAAUAACCAUUUUUGAACAUGUGGGCUUUCCCCCUCUUUUAUGAGUUCUUUGGGAAAGAAACCCAGUAGUGAGACUGCUGGGUCAAAGGGUAUGCACAGUUUCAUAGCCCUUUGAGCAUAGUUCCCAAUUGAUCUCCAGAAUGGCUGGAUCAGUUCACAAAUUUACCAACAAGUCAUUAGCCCUACUCUCCCUCUCUAUUUCUCUUAAUCCUUCUGUGCAUCACAAUCAUCUCUCUCUUUCUGUCUCUGAGCCUCUGCCUCUCUUUUUUUCUCUGUCUCCCUCUCCCUCUGCAGUGCAUCUCUCUUUUUCCCUCUGUCUCUCUGUUCUCUCUGUGUGUCUAUCUCUUUGUAUAUCUUCCCCCCUUUCUGUCUCUUUCUAUGUCCGUGUGUGUGUGUGUCUUUCUCUGUCUGUAUCUCUAAUUAUCUGUGCAUUUUUGUUUAUCUCCUUUGUCUCUCUCAAUUUCUCCCUCUGUCUCUCUGUCUUUGUCUCUAUGGGUCUGUGUGUGUCUCGGUGUCUAUUUUUUUAUCUCUCUUUUCCCAUCAAUUCUUUUAUCUCUCUUUCCCUCCCUCAAUCUGCUCUGUUUGUCUCUCCUUUUCUGUCUUUAUCUCUGUCUCACCUGAUCUGUGUCUAUUUCUACAUGUCUGUCUGUGUCUCUCUCAUUUCUCUCUCCUCACUUCACUCUUUCUCUUUUAUAAUUUCCAUAUUAUUUAUUUUUCAAAUUACAUGUAAAGAUUGUUUUUAACAUUCAUUUUUUUAAUUUAACAUUCAUUUUUGUAAGAUUUUGAAUUCCAAAUUAUCCCCACUCUCUCCGUUACGUCCCCAAACACCAAGCAGCCUGACAUAGGACAUACAUGUACAAUCAUUUUAAACAUAUUUCCAUAUUAUGCAUCUUUUCAAGAAAAAUCAGACCAAAAGGGAAAACCACGACAAAGGAAAACAAACCAACAAAAAGCUGAAAACCCACUUCUGCCGUCCACAUUCACUUUCCAUACAUUUGGGAGCCACCCCAAGUCCUCUGGAAUUGCCCUGGACCCCUGUUUUGCUCAGCAGGACCCAAGACACAUCACAAGAGUGACCAGCACAUAACCUUGUACCAUUUCUUAUUGAACAACACUACAUUCAGAUGCCAUCACUUAUUCAGCCAUUCCCCAAUCAAAGGGCAUCCCUCAAUUUCUGGCUCCUUGCAACCACAAAAAGGGCUGCUACCACCAUUUUUGUCCAUGGGAGGCCUUUUCCCUCUUUUAAGACCUCUUUGGGAUAAAGACCCAUUAGUGAGACUGCUGGAUCAAAGAGUAUGUAAUUUGAUGGCCCUUUGGGCGUGGCUCCCAAUUGAUUUCCAGAAUGGCUGGAUCAGUUCACAAAUCCAACAAUGCAUUUGUCUCAAUAUCUCUCUCUCUCUGUUUCUCUUUUGCUCUCUCCUCCCUGUAGUUCUCCCUCUCUCUCUCAAUUCUUCUCUCUGCACCUCUAUCUCAUCUCUGUACGUGUGUGUCCUAUCUCACUGUCAACCCAUCUCUUUCCUCCUGCUCCCUUUUUUCUCUCAGUCUGUGUGUGUGAGACAUUUCCCUGUCUCACUGUCUCUCUUUAUGACUGUCUCGCUGUUCCCUCUGUCUCCAACACCUCUCUCUCUCCCUCUUUCCUUUUCUCUCUCAAUAUCUCUUUCCCUUGGUCUCUGUCUCUGCUUUUGUGUCCCUCCCUCUCUCUCUCUUUCUUUUCCCCUCUUCUCUCUCAGUCUCUCCCUCUAUGUCUUUGACUGUCUCUUCCUCUCCCAUUCUCUGCCCCACUUCCCCAUUUCACUGUGUCUCUUGUCCCUCUCCAAUAUGAUUCUCUCCUCCUCCUCCUCCUCCCUUUUCUCUCUCAAUCUCUCUCUUUCUCUUGGCUCUGUCUCUGCCUGUGUGUCCCUCCCUCCUCUCUCAGUCUCUUUCCCUUUAUGUCUCUGACUCUGUCUCUUCCUCUCCCUCUCUCGGCUUCACUUCCCCAUUUCACUGUCUCUCUUGUCCCUUUCCAAUUUGAUUCUCUCCUCCUCCCUUUUCUCUCUCAAUCUCUCUCUUU
rnacentral:lncRNA from 1 species